rnacentral:rRNA from 1 species
UACGUAGGGGGCAAGCGUUGUCCGGAAUUAUUGGGCGUAAAGAGCGUGUAGGCGGUCCGGUAAGUCAGCUGUGAAAGUCAAGGGCUCAACCCUUGAAUGCCGGUUGAUACUGUCGGGCUAGAGUCCGGAAGAGGCGAGUGGAAUUCCCAGUGUAGCGGUGAAAUGCGUAGAUAUUGGGAGGAACACCAGUGGCGAAGGCGGCUACCUGGACCGGUACUGACGCUGAGGCGCGAAAGCGUGGGUAGCAAACAGG